UAAGCGGAGGAAAAGAAACUAACAAGGAUUCCCCUAGUAACUGCGAGUGAAGCGGGAAAAAGCUCAAAUUUAAAAUCUGGUGGUCUUUGGCCAUCCGAGUUGUAAUUUAGAGAAGCGUCUUCCGCGCUGGACCGUGCACAAGUCUCCUGGAAUGGAGCGUCAUAGAGGGUGAGAAUCCCGUCUUUGGCAUGGACACACCAGGGCUUUUGUGAUGCGCUCUCGAAGAGUCGAGUUGUUUGGGAAUGCAGCUCAAAAUGGGUGGUGAACUCCAUCUAAAGCUAAAUAUUGGCGAGAGAUCGAUAGCGAACAAGUACCGUGAGGGAAAGAUGAAAAGCACUUUGGAAAGAGAGUGAAACAGUACGUGAAAUUGUUGAAAGGGAAACGCUUGAAGUCAGUCACGUCGACCGAGACUCAGCCUUGCCUCGGCUUGGUGUACUUCUCGGCUGACGGGUCAGCAUCAAUUUUGCCCCUUGGAUAAUGGCGAGGGAAAUGUGACACCUUUAUGGUGUGUUAUAGUCUCUCGUCGCAUGCAAGGGUUGGGAUUGAGGAACUCAGCACGCGCCCUUUGGGUGUCGGGGCUUUGCCACGAUACGUGCUUAGGAUGUUGGCAUAAUGGCUUUAAACGACC
rnacentral:rRNA from 1 species